CGCCUUUUGAAAUAUAAGUAUAAAAGGUCCUGCCUGCCCAAUGACUUGUUUUAAUGGCCGCGGUAUAAUGACCGUGCAAAGGUAGCGUAAUCAUUUGUCUCCUAAAUAGGGACCAGUAUGAAUGGCAAAACGAAAGCCUUACUGUCUCUCCAGCCCAGUCAAUGAAAUUGAUCUUCCCGUGCAGAAGCGGGAAUAGAAAUAUAAGACGAGAAGACCCUGUGGAGCUUUAAACUCAAGUUUUAGGUUGGGGCGACCAUGAGGUAUAACAUAACCCUCACGAUAAUAAAUAGAAGGACACUUCCAAUUUGACCCAAUAAUUGAUCAACGAACCAAGUUACCCCAGGGAUAACAGCGCAAUCCGCUCAAAGAGUCCAUAUCGACGAGCAGGUUUACGACCUCGAUGUUGGAUCAGGACCCCCAAAUAACGCAACAGCUAUUAAAGGUUCGUUUGUUCAACGAUUAAAGUCCU
rnacentral:rRNA from 1 species